rnacentral:tRNA from 1 species
AGUCUUAUAUUCAAAAUAUGAUAUAAAAUUGCAAAUUUUAAGGUGUAAAAUUACUAAGGCUU